AUGAAAUGUGGGCUCAGUUUUCUUCUCUUGCUGGCAGUUCUCCCAGGGCUCAGGGCUCAGAUCCAGCUGGUCCAGUCGGGGGCAGAGACGAAGAAGCCGGGGGAGGCGGUGAAGAUGUCCUGCAAAGGCUCUGGCUACACGUUCACUAGCUAUUCAAUCCACUGGAUUCGACAGGCUCCAGGGAAAGGGCUGGUUUACAUCGGAUGGAUUAACACAGACACGGGGGCGCCCACUUAUGCGGAUAGUUUUAAGGGGAAAGUCACCAUGACUCUGGACAAAUCCAGCAGCACCGCCUUCCUGCAAGUGAGCAGCCUCCAGGCGGGAGACACCGCCGUGUAUUACUGUGCCAGGCACAGUGUCUGGUCGCAGAUCCAGUUGAUCCAGUCCGGAGCGGAGGUUAAAAGAGCAGGAGACUCCGCAAAACUCUCCUGUAAAGCGACCGGCUACACGUACACUGACCAGGGCAUGCACUGGGCCCGGAGGGCUCCGGGGAAAGGCCUGGAAUGGGUAUCUUCAAUUACACACGGGGCUGGGGACACCCAGUACUACGCAGACUCGGUCAAAGGGCGAUUCACCAUCUCCAGAGACAACUCCCAGAACCUGCUGUUCUUGCGCAUGGCCGGGCUGAGGCCUGAGGACACCGCUGUGUAUUACU